rnacentral:rRNA from 1 species
GUUACUUCGGUACAUCGGUGACAGGUGGUGCAUGGUUGUCGUCAGCUCGUGUCGUGAGAUGUUGGGUUAAGUCCCGCAACGAGCGCAACCCCUAUUGUUAGCUGCCAUCAUUCAGUUGGGCACUCUAGCGAGACUGCCGGUAAUAAACCGGAGGAAGGUGGGGAUGACGUCAAAUCAUCAUGCCCCUUAUGACCUGGGCUACACACGUGCUACAAUGGUUGGUACAACGAGUUGCGAGUCGGUGACGGCGAGCUAAUCUCUUAAAGCCAAUCUCAGUUCGGAUUGUAGGCUGCAACUCGCCUACAUGAAGUCGGAAUCGCUAGUAAUCGCGGAUCAGCACGCCGCGGUGAAUUACCGGUUCCGGCCUU